AUGUCUUUGAGGUGCAGGGGCUUCUCUUGGGCAAGAGCGGUGCUUCCUCAGUCACUUAUCUGCUCGCCGGGGUCUCAGGCCCUGGGGCAGCUGCCUCAGCCUUGCUCCGAACUUCUCUUAUCUCCAGAAUCUCAUGAGUCACGCUGUCUCCACUUUGGCCAAGAGAACCUUGUCCACACUCGGGCCUCUCGUGUUUGGAAAGCACACAUUUUCUCAGGAAACAUAUGCUCUCUGAGACCUGGUCAAACAUCCACCAAGGACCAUUUUAUGCCAAGCCUUGUGUUACUUCUGGGUCCACAGAAGCAAAUAAGAUAUACUUCCUAUCUGUCCUCAGGCAGCUCCCAGCUUGGGCAGAGGAAGCAGUAAGUAAAUGGAUAAUUAAAACCUAGUGUGUAAGUGCUACGAGAGAGAGAAACGCACGAUGCUCUGGGAAUACAAAGGUUGGGGCAUCUAACCAGACCAGACUAGAGGGUCAAGGAAGACGUUUUGGAAGAGGUGACUUAAAAGUGAGUCUUUUUCUUCCAUUUUUGAAAAAAAAAAAAUCGUGCAGGUGAUAUAUGUGUUAGAAAUACAGAGAAGUGAAAGGAAACAACGGUUGAAAUCCUUCUGCCCAGAUGUAGCCCUUACUUAUACUUUGCUAUAAUGCCUUUUAAAUCUCAUUCUCUCUCUGAGACAUAUGUCUAUUUACACACACAUCAGACAGCCCUAACACACACACAAACAUGACACAAAAAUCCAGUGCAAUUCUGCUGUAAUAGCACUCUGUAAUUUGCUCUUCCUCAUUUAGUAUAUUUUAAAUCAGUAAAUAGAAACCUGUAAACACUCUUCAAUGACCUUCUGGGAAUUGUUCAACAUAUGAUGAUCAUAUUUUAUUCAGUCUUUUACAUUACACAUUUAUUUCCAAUAUUUAAUGACUAUAAACAAUGUUGCAAAGAAGAACUUUUAAGCCCAUCUUGGUGCAUUUUCCCAGUUAUUAUUUUGUGGUUAUCAGAGAAAACUGAUCAAUUUACCUUUCUUUUUUUUUUUUUGUCUUUUGUCUUUUUUGUUGUUAUUAUUGCUAUUUCUUGGGCCGCUCCCGCGGCAUAUGGAGGUUCCCAGGCUAGGGGUUGAAUCGGAGCUGUAGCCACUGGCCUACGCCAGAGCCACAGCAACGCGGGAUCCGAGCCGUGUCUGCAACCUACACCACAGCUCAUGGCAACGCCGGAUCGUUAACCCACUGAGCAAGGCCAGGGAUCGAACCCGCAACCUCAUGGUUCCUAGUCGGAUUCGUUAACCACUGCGCCAUGACGGGAACUCCCCAAUUUACCUUUCAUUCUGUAUCUCUAGAGCUAACAGUGGGUAUUUUUAUUCUUUUUAAAAAAUUUGAGGAGUUCCCGUCGUGGCGCAGUGGUUAACGAAUCCGACUAGGAACCAUGAGGUUGCGGGUUCGAUCCCUGGCCUUGCUCAGUGGGUUAACGAUCCGGCGUUGCCAUGAGCUGUGGUGUAGGUUGCAGACACGGCUCGGAUCCCGCGUUGCUGUGGCUCUGGCGUAGGCCGGUGGCUACAGCUCCGAUUCAACCCCUAGCCUGGGAACCUCCAUAUGCCGCAGAAGAGGCCCAAGAGAUAGCAACAACAACAACAAAAGACAAAAAGACUAAAAAAAAAAAAAAAAAAAAAAAAAUUGAUAGGUGAAAAAUGGCAUCCUAUCUAGUUGUGUUUGCAUUUUAGAUGACUAAUUUUUUCAUAAUUACUGGCCAUGUAUAUUUCUUUUUCUUUUUCUUUUUUUUUUUUUUUAGUCUUUUUGUCUUUUGUUGUUGUUGUUGCUAUCUCUUGGGCCUCUUCUGCGGCAUAUGGAGGUUCCCAGGCUAGGGGUUGAAUCGGAGCUGUAGCCACCGGCCUACGCCAGAGCCACAGCAACGCGGGAUCCGAGCCACGUCUGCAACCUACACCACAGCUCACGGCAACACCAGAUCGUUAACCCACUGAGCAAGGCCAGGGAUCGAACCCGCCACCUCAUGGUUCCUAGUCGGAUUCGUUAACCACUGCGCCACGACGGGAACUCCUCUUUUUCUUUUUUUAUAUAAUGAUUUUUAUUUUUUCAUUAUAGCUGCUUUAUAGUGUUCUGUCAAUUUUCUACUGUACAGCAUGGUGACCCAGUUAUACAUACAUACAUAUAGAUUCUUACUUCUUCUAUUUAUUUAUUUAUUUAUUUAUUUAUUUAUUUAUUUAUUUUGUUUUUUUGCUAUUUCUUUGGGCUGCUCCCACGGCAUAUGGAGCUUCCCA
rnacentral:lncRNA from 1 species